rnacentral:lncRNA from 1 species
CUCUGUUUAUGUCUCCUAUAAGAUGGAUUUUCAGGUAUCAUCUUUAUCAUCUUUGCAGCAGUUCCUGUAUCAUGAGUGAUAGCUUAUUUGUAGAGAAGGUGGUAUUUGAAACUCUUUUGUACUACAGCUCAGAUAAAUACUUGAACAGAUUCACAGAAUGAUAUGGUGUUAUAAGAGGUAUCUGGACUUCGUUUUUUUCUGUUAUUUCCUAUACUUAACAGUAGUCUUUUAAGAAGAAUCUAGC